CAGAGCUAUGAACAUAAAUAAAAGAUUAUGUUGCAAUACAUGAACUGCCUUGCAGUAUCAAUGUACAGUACAGUUAGGUUGGUCUUGUAUUUUUUUUAAACAAAUGGCUAACAUCUGUACAGCAAUGGCAGAUAGGGCGCCCUCCCCAAAUAGAACGUGAGUUACUAUGUAUAUACCUGUUUAUUCUGUCUUCCUUACGACAGAUAUCAUCUUGGUGGUUAAAAAAAGUAGUGACUCCCUCAAGUACAAGACGUUUAUGGCCCUGAAAAAUAUCCAUGUGCAUACAUGCAUGUUAUCUCAUCAUUGGAGUAUUGCUACUGUACAGGAGAACAUAACAGUAGCCAAACGUCUUAACAAAUAUAGGGGGCCUGGGCCCCCACAGCCCCUAGAUCCGCCCAUGAUUGAAGAAUACCUUUGUAGAGAGCAGCAGUAGCUGGUAAGCAAGUGGAGGGAGCUCCUGAAGAUCCAAGUCCUUAAAUAAUCUUAGAAUCUUCUCAAUAACAAAGCGCAGCUCAUCUGAACUCAUAGGGAUAUCCCUAAUAAAAUCAGAAAACCAUGUUCAUGGGCUUUUGAA